rnacentral:rRNA from 1 species
GUGGGGAAUAUUGGACAAUGGGCGAAAGCCUGAUCCAGCCAUGCCGCGUGUGUGAAGAAGGUCUUCGGAUUGUAAAGCACUUUAAGUUGGGAGGAAGGGCAGUAAGUUAAUACCUUGCUGUUUUGACGUUACCGACAGAAUAAGCACCGGCUAACUUCGUGCCAGCAGCCGCGGUAAUACGAAGGGUGCAAGCGUUAAUCGGAAUUACUGGGCGUAAAGCGCGCGUAGGUGGUUUUGUAAGUUGGAGGUGAAAUCCCCGGGCUCAACCUGGGAACUGCCUCCAAAACUGCAUGACUAGAGUACGGUAGAGGGUAGUGGAAUUUCCUGUGUAGCGGUGAAAUGCGUAGAUAUAGGAAGGAACACCAGUGGCGAAGGCGACUACCUGGACUGAUACUGACACUGAGGUGCGAAAGCGUGGGGAGCUAACAGGAUUAGAUACCCCAGUAGUCC